rnacentral:rRNA from 1 species
AGUGGCGGACGGGUGAGUAACGCGUAAGAACUUGCCUCUUGGAGAGGAAUACCAGCUGGAAACGGCUGCUAAUACCUCAUAUGCUGAGGAGUGAAAGGGAGAAUAUCCCGCCAAGAGAUAGGCUUGCGUCUGAUUAGCUAGUUGGGGGGGUAAAAGCCUCCCAAGGCGAUGAUCAGUAGCUGGUCUGAGAGGACAAACAGCCACACUGGGACUGAGACACGGCCCAAACUCCUACGGGAGGCAGCAGUGAGGAAUUUUCCGCAAUGGGCGAAAGCCUGACGGAGCAAUGCCGCGUGAAGGAUGAAGGCCCGUGGGUUGUAAACUUCUUUUCUUGGAGACGAAGUUCUGACGGUAUUCAAGGAAUAAGCAUCGGCUAACUCUGUGCCAGCAGCCGCGGUAAUACAGAGGAUGCAAGCGUUAUCCGGAUUUAUUGGGCGUAAAGCGUCCUGAGGUGGCCUGCCAAGUCUUCUGUAAAAGAGUAGGGCUCAACCCUAGAGAUGCGGUGGAAACUAGCAGGCUGGAGUAUGGUAGGGGCAGAGGGAAUUCCCGGUGUAGCGGUGAAAUGCAUAGAUAUCGGGAAGAACACCAAUGGCGAAAGCACUCUGCUGGGCCAAUACUGACACUGAAAGACGAAAGCUAGGGGAGCAAAAGGGAUUAGAUACCCCUGUAGUCCUAGCCGUAAACGAUGGACACUAAG